rnacentral:rRNA from 1 species
AUGAACGCUAGCUACAGGCUUAACACAUGCAAGUCGAGGGGCAGCAUGAACUUAGCUUGCUAAGUUUGAUGGCGACCGGCGCACGGGUGAGUAACACGUAUCCAACCUGCCGAUGACUCGGGGAUAGCCUUUCGAAAGAAAGAUUAAUACCCGAUGGCAUAGUUCUUCCGCAUGGUAGAACUAUUAAAGAAUUUCGGUCAUCGAUGGGGAUGCGUUCCAUUAGGUUGUUGGCGGGGUAACGGCCCACCAAGCCUUCGAUGGAUAGGGGUUCUGAGAGGAAGGUCCCCCACAUUGGAACUGAGACACGGUCCAAACUCCUACGGGAGGCAGCAGUGAGGAAUAUUGGUCAAUGGACGAGAGUCUGAACCAGCCAAGUAGCGUGAAGGAUGACUGCCCUAUGGGUUGUAAACUUCUUUUAUACGGGAAUAAAGUGAGGCACGCGUGCCUUUUUGUAUGUACCGUAUGAAUAAGGAUCGGCUAACUCCGUGCCAGCAGCCGCGGUAAUACGGAGGAUCCGAGCGUUAUCCGGAUUUAUUGGGUUUAAAGGGAGCGUAGGCGGACGCUUAAGUCAGUUGUGAAAGUUUGCGGCUCAACCGUAAAAUUGCAGUUGAUACUGGGUGUCUUGAGUACAGUAGAGGCAGGCGGAAUUCGUGGUGUAGCGGUGAAAUGCUUAGAUAUCACGAAGAACUCCGAUUGCGAAGGCAGCCUGCUGGACUGUAACUGACGCUGAUGCUCGAAAGUGUGGGUAUCAAACAGGAUUAGAUACCCUGGUAGUCCACACCGUAAACGAUGGAUACUAGGUGUAGGGAACGAUAUGUUUUCUGUGCCGAAAGCAAACGCAAUAAGUAUCCCACCUGGGGAGUACGGCCGCAAGGUUGAAACUCAAAGGAAUUGACGGGGGCCCGCACAAGCAGUGGAGUAUGUGGUUUAAUUCGAUGCAACGCGAAGAACCUUACCAGGGCUUGACAUAUACAGGAAUACUUAAGAAAUUAGGUAGUCUUUCGAGACUUGUAUACAGGUGGUGCAUGGUUGUCGUCAGCUCGUGUCGUGAGAUGUUGGGUUAAGUCCCGCAACGAGCGCAACCCUUAUCGAUAGUUACCAUCAGGUGAUGCUGGGGACUCUGUCGAGACUGCCGUCGUAAGAUGUGAGGAAGGUGGGGAUGACGUCAAAUCAGCACGGCCCUUACGUCCGGGGCUACACACGUGUUACAAUGGGGGGUACAGAAGGCAGCUACACGGCGACGUGAUGCUAAUCCCUAAAGCCUCUCUCAGUUCGGAUUGGAGUCUGCAACCCGACUCCAUGAAGCUGGAUUCGCUAGUAAUCGCGCAUCAGCCACGGCGCGGUGAAUACGUUCCCGGGCCUUGUACACACCGCCCGUCAAGCCAUGAAAGCCGGGGGUACCUGAAGUGCGUAACCGCAAGGAGCGCCCUAGGGUAAAACUGGUGAUUGGGGCU